CUAUGUGUGAGCACUCCAUACCGAAGUCUACUGGUCUUGCUUUCUUGUCCAGAGCAAAUGGUGGACUAUACACAGAUGGUUUCCAGUUUUUCAUCUCAUCGCCAAGACUGAGUGAUUGGAUAGCAAGCCUGUCAAUUUCUGGAAGGGGAAAGAUAGAGGAAGCAUUGUGGACGCCCUGGCCAGUUUUCAGGACCAAUGAGACCAGCAAAAAGCUAGACAGUGCCAACUACAGACAGCCCUCAUGCUUUCAACCUACUAGGCUGGACAAUCCUCUUAGGCCACCAUGACCUCCACUCUUUUCCCCACUACAUUUGACACAGGAAGAGAAAAGAG
rnacentral:lncRNA from 1 species